rnacentral:lncRNA from 1 species
CGAGGAUUCUAGAGGGUUUAGGGAAGAGGGCUCUGGGAAUCCCCUGUGGUCUGCGUUACAUGGUCGCCUGAGCAUCGGAAGCGGAGGUGAGACAAGAACCUGGAGCAGACGGGGCAGGAGACUAUGCUGCGUGUGGAGUGCUGCUGCUGUGGCCGGCGGGUGAUUCCAUCAGGAAAGUCCAUCUGGAGCCCAGUCUCCCGGCACUGCCGAUUGCGGAAGCAGGUUUCCUGAGAUGCCAUCACGUCCUGGCUUAAUGCUGUGGGGGAGGAAACACUGUCCCCCAUCCUCCCAGGUUGACAGCUGGGGCUUUGAAAUAAACCAACAACAG